rnacentral:rRNA from 1 species
GUGGGGAAUAUUGGACAAUGGGCGCAAGCCUGAUCCAGCCAUGCCGCGUGAGUGAUGAAGGCCUUAGGGUUGUAAAGCUCUUUUGUCCGGGAAGAUAAUGACUGUACCGGAAGAAUAAGCCCCGGCUAACUUCGUGCCAGCAGCCGCGGUAAUACGAAGGGGGCUAGCGUUGUUCGGAAUCACUGGGCGUAAAGCGCACGUAGGCGGACCAUUAAGUCAGGGGUGAAAGCCUGGAGCUCAACUCCAGAACUGCCUUUGAUACUGAUGGUCUCGAGUAUGGAAGAGGUUGGUGGAACUGCGAGUGUAGAGGUGAAAUUCGUAGAUAUUCGCAAGAACACCGGUGGCGAAGGCGGCCAACUGGUCCAUUACUGACGCUGAGGCACGAAAGCGUGGGGAUCAAACAGGAUUAGAAACCCGGGUAGUCC